ACCUGGGUGGCUCAGUUGGUUAAGCGUCUGACUUCGGCUCAGGUCAUGAUCUCAUGGUUUGUGGGUUCAAGCCCCAUGUCAGGCU
rnacentral:tRNA from 1 species